rnacentral:rRNA from 1 species
AGCCAUAACACACAAUCAAACUACAAAUUGUUCGCCGAACAACUACGAGUAAUACUUAAAACUUAAAAGACUUGACGGUACUUCAUCCCGACCUAGAGGAGCCUGUCUAAUAACCGACAAUCCACGAUUAACCCAACCCCUUCUUGCCCCACAGUCUAUAUACCGCCGUCGUCAGCUUACCUUGUAAAAGAAAUAAAGUGAGCUAAACAGUACCACACUAAAACGACAGGUCGAGGUGUAACUUAUGAAGAGGGCUAAGAUGGGCUACAUUCUCCAACCAAGAAUACGAACAACACUAUGAAAUUAAUGUUUAAAGGCGGAUUUAGCAGUAAGAUAAGAAUAAAAUACCUAACUGAACAUAACGCAAUGAAGUGCGCACACACCGCCCGUCACCCCUGUCACCAC